GUUCUCCAUCCUUGUGAAUAUUUCACUAAUUUCGCGCCCAGAAAGGAACAUUGAAAAAAAAGCGCUUUGAUCACUUGCGUGAACGUCAGGUCGUACACUGACUGACUCGUCCCCAGGUCAACACGUAACCAAAAGACGAUCAGUAAAAAGUUAUACAAUCGACCAGUGGAAACCCAGUGUAUAAGACUUCAUAUACAGUGAAACUUUUCCAAACCGGCCCCUCAGAAUACCGGUUCUCCCUGAAUAUCGGCCGAUUUUCAAAGUCCCGGCAGAAAUCUUAACAUUUCCUUACAAAGAAAGUCUUACAAAACCGGCCACCCCUGAAAACCGGACAUCGGCCACUUUUUAAAGAACAUUUGUUAACAAACAUGUGUAAUUUACCCUUAACAUACCGGCCACUUUUUGAAGACAAGAAAAUUUUGGCCAAAGGUUAAUCAAGAUCGUCCAGGUGUGCAAAUUGACUGACCCACCAGCCAGGUAUGAAAUUAUCAACCGGAGCUGUGAAAAACAUUAGUGGCCUCUUUAAUUUCUAUUGUUUACCUGUGCUGUCAAGGGUGUUAAUUGACACUUAGCUAAUCCAAGAGACCCUUCCAAAUUCUGUACAAAAUGUAAAAAACAGAAAAUUAUUGAAUGAAUACCGUAUCAAACGCCAUAUUGUUUCACCAUACUUUCGUAUGGAUAUAAGCGGUAAUUAAUAAAGAACAAACCCAUGACUGUUAAUGAUAAUUAUUAAAAGAUAGAUUAAUUUUCUUGAUUUCCAUAGACUUAAAAUUUCAAAGAAAUAUUCAAAUUACAAUUUCAUAUUUACUACUGUACUUUUUAAAAACGUCAAAACAAAAUUGUUAAUGACAUAAGCGAUGAAUGUAAACAGAGUUUUUAUAGGUAAGAGGAAUUCCAAUAAUAGGCCUCUGUGUUUUCUUUAUGUAUCCCGCUAUAGAGUUUCAGUUUAAAAUUAGAUAAGAUUAGAUAAUUUCAGCGAGAAUAUUCCUUGUAAUUCAUAAUCGUCUUUAGGUACAAGCAGACUAAUUUAAUCUCCACCGAUAAUUGAUCAUAGAUCACCAGAUUAAAGUGAACAGUACCUACUUUGUGAAUAUUGAGAUAAAAAGUCUAUAAUUACUAAAUUCUCGGUAUACCGGCCAUCCCUCUAAACCGGCCGUUUUUUCCGGUCCGAGAGCCGGCCAGUUUAGAGAAGUUUCACUGUAUAUACAUAUGAUAUAUUUUAUACAUGAUAUAUCAUAUAUCGAAUUAGAACGGGGAGAAGAAAAAAACACGACAGGCUUCGUACAUUGUACAAGUUGACCGAAACGACAUCACCGGAAGUUACAACUUUCAAAGAAGUCAUUUAUGAUUUAAAGAUUUGUGAAUGGAAAUCAAUAACAUCGGAAUGAAAAAGGACUAUGGGGUAACGGAUGACACUCUGAGAUUGAGAACCCAAAAGGUACAUGCUGUGCAAGAAAGAUGUAAACAUGCGAAUUCCUAAAUGUACUAAAUAUUAAAACAUCAACUGCAAUCUUCAGUGGUGACAUCCAAAAGUUGAUAUGCCAUUGGUACUUCAAGUGAUACGACCGUGACAUUGGAAAAUCCUUUUAACUUAUCAUCACUUGAGCCUGAAUUGCAAUCCUUUUGAUACAGACAUUUUUUUAAGUUCAGUUUCGAACAUUAAUGCCGCUGUGUCAUUUCUGGAAAUGGAAAAGCCUACCACAGAAUCUGAUGAAUUUUUGAACAUUCUUUCACAAAAAGGGAUCUUCUUUAUUUUGAAGAAGGUAGGCCAGGAACUGGAAAUCUGUUAUCAAAAUGAUCUUAAUAAUACACUGGACAAUAUUCUAACCUAAAAAAAAUCAUGACAAACCCGAUUGGACUUCUGUGAUGAAGCAUCUCAAAACUCAAAUUAUGGUAGUCUUUCAAGUGACAUUGAGGAUUUCAAUAGCGCAUUUGACAGUAAAGUGAUUUUUAUUCAAGUUCAGAUUGUUGUCAUUAUAAAUUUAUAAGAAGUGUUCUCAUAGCCAACAUUUUUCAAGUCUACUUUUGAUGAAAUAUAGUCUUUUCUAUUACAACUUAUUAUGACAUGAUUGUUGUUGUAUACAUAAAUGUUCUUAUCCACGAAUCAUUCACUGUUCUUAUAGUUUUUUUUUAUCCUGAACUAUGUAGCAAUGACAUGUCAAGGUAAUCCAGAAAAUGUAAAAUCUUUUCUUUGAUAUGACAAGGAUUUAAUUUUGUAACAAUUAAUAUCUAAAAGUCCUGUAACCCUCAUUAAAGUCCUUUAUAAUCUGA